CGCCCCCUCCUCAACAAUGUCCUCCACCCCAUGGACCUCGAGCACCACCGCCCCCUAGUCAACGAGUGCCACUGCCUUGUCGACGAGCACCGCCUUAAGUAACUGGUCAAUGUCAUUCAUGAUGUAAGUGACAGGCCCUUGACCACAAAAACUGGCGCGCCCCUUUGACCACAAAGUCCAACAACCCCUUGACACAUUCCACCCUCACCACAACGUCUGGUGCCUCCUCUACCACAAAGAUUUGUGCCCCCUGGACCAUGACAUCCAAUAAAUCCUAAUAUCAGAAUCACAAAACUUUCUGCAACUGCAUUGCGAAUUUUACUGUCAGAACUAAGCGGGGCGGGCCGUGAGACCCUGCUGCAGUAACAUGAGAGCUUUCCUAAUGGUGGUCUGAUGCUCAUGGACCGAACCAGACCAUCAAGUUCCAGGUCCAGACAUGUUGAGCCUGGAGACUGUUGAGAGUCAGAUAUCUGCUCUGAUGGAGACUGUGGUGGACUUGGCCGUGACGGAGCUCCGCAGACUUCACUUGAGCCAGGUGGCCGCUCAGCAGCGCUCUGCCGUGGCUCCAGGCACCGCCAUGAAGACCGAAGUGACUCCAGAGGAGUGAGACCUGUUUAAUAAAGCCAUAACGAAUCAACGCAGGAUCCGCACCAGCAAUAAAGAAGAAUGCCCACAUAUAAAGAAGAGAUAUUUAGUCCAUGUGAAUUAAUUCUCACAAUAAAAUAUUUUUGGAUG